rnacentral:rRNA from 1 species
GAUGAACGCUGGCGGCGUGCCUAAUACAUGCAAGUCGAGCGAACAGACAAGGAGCUUGCUCCUUUGACGUUAGCGGCAGACGGGUGAGUAACACGUGGGUAACCUACCUAUAAGACUGGGAUAACUUCGGGAAACCGGAGCUAAUACCGGAUAAUAUUUCGAACCGCAUGGUUCGAUAGUGAAAGAUGGUUUUGCUAUCACUUAUAGAUGGACCCGCGCCGUAUUAGCUAGUUGGUAAGGUAACGGCUUACCAAGGCGACGAUACGUAGCCGACCUGAGAGGGUGAUCGGCCACACUGGAACUGAGACACGGUCCAGACUCCUACGGGAGGCAGCAGUAGGGAAUCUUCCGCAAUGGGCGAAAGCCUGACGGAGCAACGCCGCGUGAGUGAUGAAGGUCUUCGGAUCGUAAAACUCUGUUAUUAGGGAAGAACAUACGUGUAAGUAACUAUGCACGUCUUGACGGUACCUAAUCAGAAAGCCACGGCUAACUACGUGCCAGCAGCCGCGGUAAUACGUAGGUGGCAAGCGUUAUCCGGAAUUAUUGGGCGUAAAGCGCGCGUAGGCGGUUUUUUAAGUCUGAUGUGAAAGCCCACGGCUCAACCGUGGAGGGUCAUUGGAAACUGUAAAACUUGAGUGCAGAAGAGGAAAGUGGAAUUCCAUGUGUAGCGGUGAAAUGCGCAGAGAUAUGGAGGAACACCAGUGGCGAAGGCGACUUUCUGGUCUGUAACUGACGCUGAUGUGCGAAAGCGUGGGGAUCAAACAGGAUUAGAUACCCUGGUAGUCCACGCCGUAAACGAUGAGUGCUAAGUGUUAGGGGGUUUCCGCCCCUUAGUGCUGCAGCUAACGCAUUAAGCACUCCGCCUGGGGAGUACGACCGCAAGGUUGAAACUCAAAGGAAUUGACGGGGACCCGCACAAGCGGUGGAGCAUGUGGUUUAAUUCGAAGCAACGCGAAGAACCUUACCAAAUCUUGACAUCCUUUGACAACUCUAGAGAUAGAGCCUUCCCCUUCGGGGGACAAAGUGACAGGUGGUGCAUGGUUGUCGUCAGCUCGUGUCGUGAGAUGUUGGGUUAAGUCCCGCAACGAGCGCAACCCUUAAGCUUAGUUGCCAUCAUUAAGUUGGGCACUCUAAGUUGACUGCCGGUGACAAACCGGAGGAAGGUGGGGAUGACGUCAAAUCAUCAUGCCCCUUAUGAUUUGGGCUACACACGUGCUACAAUGGACAAUACAAAGGGCAGCGAAACCGCGAGGUCAAGCAAAUCCCAUAAAGUUGUUCUCAGUUCGGAUUGUAGUCUGCAACUCGACUACAUGGAGCUGGAAUCGCUAGUAAUCGUAGAUCAGCAUGCUACGGUGAAUACGUUCCCGGGUCU